rnacentral:ncRNA from 1 species
CGUGGGCAACCUGCCUGAUAGAGGGGGAUAGCCUCCCGAAAGGGAGNNNNNNNNNNCCGGGAUGGACUGACCUCUGGUGUACCAGUUGUUCCGCCAGGAGCAUAGCUGGGUAGCUAAGUCGGGAAGGGAUAAACGCUGAAGGCAUCUAAGCGUGAAGCCCACCUCAAGAUAAGAUUUCCCAUAGAGUAAUCUAGUAAGAUCCCUUGAAGAACACAAGGUUGAUAGGUGAGAGGUGUAAGUGUGGUAACAUAUUUAGCUGACUCAUACUAAUAGAUCGA